rnacentral:tRNA from 1 species
GUUUUAAUAGUUUAAUUUAAAACAUUGGUCUUGUAAACCAAAAUUGAAAUUUUCAAAUUUCUUAAAACU